UACGUAGGGGGCUAGCGUUGUCCGGAAUCAUUGGGCGUAAAGCGCGUGUAGGCGGUCCGGUAAGUCCGCUGUGAAAGUCGGGGGCUCAACCCUCGGAUGCCGGUGGAUACUGUCGGGCUUGAGUACGGAAGAGGCGAGUGGAAUUCCUGGUGUAGCGGUGGAAUGCGCAGAUAUCAGGAGGAACACCAAUAGCGAAGGCAGCUCGCUGGGACGGUUACUGACGCUAGGAGAACGC
rnacentral:rRNA from 1 species